ensembl:misc_RNA Metazoa_SRP Metazoan signal recognition particle RNA
GCUAGGUAUGGUGUUGCACACCUGUAGUGCCUGCUCCUGGGGAGGCUGAAGUUGGAGGAUCUCUUGAGUUCCAGAGGUCUGAGCUGCAGUGAGCUGAGAUCUGCACUAGGGCCAACAAUGUGGAGAAGCCCUGGCAGGGGAAUGGUCAAAAGGCUUCCUAAGCAGGGGCAAAUUGGCCCAGGUCAGAAAUGGAACAGGUCAAGACUCCUGGGCUGAUCAGUAGUGAGUGGCCACUACACUUCCAGCCUGGGCAAGAAAAAGAGACUCAGCUUAAA